UUCAAUGUCACGCUAGCAUUAAUUGUUAAUUAAGAACAGGGACCUUGUGUGUGAAAUGUGUUUGUAAUAUUGGCCCUGGGGAAUCAAUUCGGACAGAUUAUUGGCUGGUUCUAAGAGAAAGUUUUCAAAUCGACCAAUGAUACACAACCAGGCUAUAAUUCUAGUGUGCUAUAAAUGCACAUAGGACGAUUCAUGAAUAUGGUGCCAGGUACCUAUAAUCCGUAUACUAAUUAACAUUACAUAACGUGAAAAACGUAAAUAAUGUCCAGUAGUAGAUUUGCGUGUCAAGAUUUGAGUUACCUUUACAGCUAGAGCAUACAAAAUGAAUGAUACGUAUCUGUAAAAGUUAUACAGAAUAAAAUAACAAAUAAUUCUUAAACAUUAAAACCAGAAUACAUAUUAGACAGCACAAGGACGUUCUGAGGAAAUCCCAUGGAUAUCUUAAAUGGGUAUUUCAACUUGAAAGUUGAAAAUUCAGUUUCAACAAUUUACAGGAUAAACAUGUUUAUGUUGCUACUGGUACUGGAGACCAAAAAACUAGGUUAUCAGUGUGCUCGAGCUAAGUAUUAUCAAAAUUCUUCGUACAAAACUUUAUAUACAAAAACCAAACAGAGUCGAAAUGGCAAUUGGACAGGUCCAAAUUUGGUUUUCGG